AUUAAUUCCACAAAGACUAGGGCCUCGCAAAAAUUUACCCGCCCGGAACAUUCCAAUGACUAAGGCCGCCCCUGACUCUAGGUAAGAAAAUCUACAUGUUUCAUUAGUUAUAGUAUGUUUUAUACUCUAAUUCCAGUUAAUGAAGCUUUUUAUUUCACGUAAUAGUCUUUUUUUACUUUUUAAAAUAAAUUGAAACAAAUGUAUCUUAUUUCUUUUUGUUCAAUUGUAUUGUAUUUUAAUCAUCAAAUUUUGAUAUCAGAAGUCUUUUAUUGUUUAAUUGUUAUAUAAAAGAUUUUCAGCAGGCGGGCAAUUAAUUUUUUGCAAUUUAUUCGUUUCUUUGUUUUUUUCGUUAAAUGUUAAUUAGGUAAAAAACUCGAUUGACGGGUUUCUAAAAUGAGAAGAAUGGUUUCACUAAUGUUGUUCUGUUGAAUGUAGGUAGUUUUCUGUUUUUGUUUUUUUUUUUUUUUAAUUUGAAAUGGGAGAAACAAUAUGAAACUUUUCCCUAUUUGAAAUAUUAAGUUUUACACUUAAAAUACAAAAUGCUAAGUCAGCAAUUUCUAGUUGAAUUGCUUCUUUAAUUGUUGUUUUUUAGGAACUUUAAAAGUAAAAAGACAGCAGCAAUUAAUGAAUUAUAAUAGGCGAUGAUAGUAAAAAAUUAAAACGAAUGUAAUGUUAGAAUUAUUACCCACAGUAGAUUCAAUUCUGCAACAAUAGGAAUAAAUACUUCAACCAGAGACAAUGAUGGAAAAUUUAACAUUUGCGGGGUUUAUGGGGAGGUAUACGAAAAAAUUAUAAUUGAUUUUCAGAUCAAGGUGCUAUACUGGCAAAAUAGAAAAAUAUCAAAAAUUCUUAUUGCAGACGUUCUUGGUAUUCAAUAGCGGCUCUGAUGAAAUGAAGUGGGUGUUAUGCAAAUGUUCACUCGCCGAUGGUUUGAAAGUUAAUUCAAUCCUACCUUCUCACCCUUACAUUUGUUCCUGUCUAUGCUUUAACGCCGCCAAGAGAUAACGAUCUCUGCUCACCAGCGCAACACUCACAAGAAAAAAAACAGGCUAAUUAUCUGGGUUGAAUGCAGUUCAGAAGUUAGUCUGGAUUUAGGGCUUUAUGCUGCCAAAUGAUGGUGCAGAAGGAGCGCUGCGGGUUUCCAAAUAGGAGCACAGAACUGUUUUGUGCGGUCCAGUUCAAUAGUAGAAUAUAAAUGAUAUCGUGACAGGCUCAACCAGAGACCCAAAGAAUUAAUUUGGUCUACUACAAGUACAUCAGCGCCGAAUGUGAGGUUUGCUGGUAUUGCUUGUGCCUCACAAUUCGAGUGUGUUCUUGAAUCGUGUGGGGUUCUAUCAACUUCCAUUCUAGUCAG